AACAGGAUUAGAUACCCUGGUAGUCCAUGCCGUAAACGAUGAGUGCUAGGUGUUGGAGGGUUUCCGCCCUUCAGUGCCGGAGCUAACGCAUUAAGCACUCCGCCUGGGGAGUACGACCGCAAGGUUGAAACUCAAAGGAAUUGACGGGGGCCCGCACAAGCGGUGGAGCAUGUGGUUUAAUUCGAAGCUACGCGAAGAACCUUACCAGGUCUUGACAUCUUGCGCCAACCCUAGAGAUAGGGCGUUUCCUUCGGGAACGCAAUGACAGGUGGUGCAUGGUCGUCGUCAGCUCGUGUCGUGAGAUGUUGGGUUAAGUCCCGCAACGAGCGCAACCCUUGUUACUAGUUGCCAGCAUUAAGUUGGGCACUCUAGUGAGACUGCCGGUGACAAACCGGAGGAAGGUGGGGACGACGUCAGAUCAUCAUGCCCCUUAUGACCUGGGCUACACACGUGCUACAAUGGACGGUACAAUGAGUCGCGAACUCGCGAGGGCAAGCAAAUCUCUUAAAACCGUUCUCAGUUCGGACUGCAGGCUGCAACUCGCCUGCACGAAGUCGGAAUCGCUAGUAAUCGCGGAUCAGCAUGCCGCGGUGAAUACGUUCCCGGGCCUUGUACACACCGCCCGUCACACCAUGAGAGUUUGUAACACCCAAAGUCGGUGGGGUAACCUUUUAGGAGCCAGCCGCCUAAGGUGGGACAGAUGAUUAGGGUGAAGUCGUAACAAGGUAACC
rnacentral:rRNA from 1 species